AUGUAAGAGAACGAAAUAGGUGUAUAUAUUUACUUAAUAGGGAAUUUAGUUUAUGCUAAAGCUGCCCCAGCAACUGUAAAUGAUUACGAGCUAGUGUAUGCCACUGUAUUUUACGGGAAGGUUCUAGUGAGGUUUGAGUCAUAAGCCAGGAGAUCUGCCUAUUUUGCAACUGCUCU
rnacentral:ncRNA from 2 species